rnacentral:lncRNA from 1 species
UCUCCUGUCUCUCCUCACGGCUUGCGACACCAUUCUCCCCUACAGUUAUAAGAAGGCAUGCCAUGUGUACGAUAACUCGAUAAGUCUGCUUAAAUCUCAUUGUACCUUGCGGUGUUAAUAAAUGCUAAAGCAAUUAGAUCAUUUUCUCUGAAUGUUCAGAACUUGCACUACUUGGCAUCAAAGAUUUCCCAAGUAUUGUGUUCAAAUGGUAGAGAGUUACCCAUCUUCAUCACAAUUUUUUUUAAGCUAUUGGGUUUUUGCCCCUAUUUUGAACCUCAAUUAUGAUUUGCCCCCAUUUUCUUCCACAUUGUGAUUUUACCCUUACUAUUUGAAGGUCAAGCCUCAGUUUACCCCUAUUCUUAACUAUAUAUGUUAGAUUCAUUUGUAAUAAACCAAUUAAAAAAAUAGAAAACCCCUUCACAAUAUGGUGAAAAGACACAACUGCCUCUUAUUUCUUUCCUUCCCUCCACUCCCCCCUGACGCCACCCCUCUCGAUUUCUC